CAUGUGAUCUUCGGAUUAAAGCUUCGGCGGUUUGGGAAUGGCCUGCGUUCGAUUAGCUAGUUGGUGAGGUAAAGGCUCACCAAGGCGACGAUCGAUAACUGGUCUGAGAGGAUGAUCAGUCUGACUGGAACUGAGACACGGUCCAGACUCCUACGGGAGGCAGCAGUAGGGAAUUUUCCACAAUGGGCGAAAGCCUGAUGGAGCAACGCCGCGUGCAGGAUGAAGGCCCUUUGGGUCGUAAACUGACUUUUAUGUGAGAAGAAUAUGACGGUAACACAUGAAUAAGGGUCGGCUAACUACGUG
rnacentral:rRNA from 1 species